rnacentral:rRNA from 1 species
GACGAACGCUGGCGGCGCGCUUAACACAUGCAAGUCGAGCGAUGAAACUUUAACAGAACCCUUCGGGGCGAAGAUAAAGUGGAUUAGCGGCGGACGGGUGAGUAACACGUGAGUAACCUGCCUUAGACAUUGGGAUAGUCUCGGGAAACCGGGAUUAAUACCAACUAAAAUCAUAAUGACACAUGUCAUAACGAUCAAAACUCCGGUGGGCUAAGAUGGACUCGCGUCCCAUUGGCUAGUUGCUAGAGUAAAAGCCUACCAAGGCGACGGUGGGUAGCCGGGCUGAGAGGGUGAACGGCCACAUUGGAACUGAGAACCGGUCCAAACUCCUACGGAAGGCAGCAGUGGGGAAUAUUGCACAAUGGAGGGAACUCUGAUGCAGCGACGCCGCGUGAACGAGGAAGGCUUUCGAGUCGUAAAGUUCUUUUAUAUGGGAAGAUAAUGACGGUACCAGAAGAAAAAGCCCCGGCUAACUACGUG